rnacentral:rRNA from 1 species
AGCGAACGCUGGCGGCAGGCUUAACACAUGCAAGUCGAGCGGGCAUAGCAAUAUGUCAGCGGCAGACGGGUGAGUAACGCGUGGGAACGUACCUUUGGUUCGGAACAACACAGGGAAACUUGUGCUAAUACCGGAUAAGCCCUUACGGGGAAAGAUUUAUCGCCGAAAGAUCGGCCCGCGUCUGAUUAGCUAGUUGGUGAGGUAAUGGCUCACAAGGCGACGAUCAGUAGCUGGUCUGAGAGGAUGAUCAGCCACAUUGGGACUGAGACACGGCCCAAACUCCUACGGGAGGCAGCAGUGGGGAAUAUUGGACAAUGGGCGCAAGCCUGAUCCAGCCAUGCCGCGUGAGUGAUGAAGGCCCUAGGGUUGUAAAGCUCUUUGUGCGGGAAGAUAAUGACGGUACCGCAAGAAUAAGCCCCGGCUAACUUCGUGCCAGCAGCCGCGGUAAU